rnacentral:misc_RNA from 1 species
AGCAACUAAUUGAAAUAUACAGUUGCUUGACAUAGUUCUGAUAGCCUGAAUGUUUUACCUCUUUAGGUAAGCAUUGGGAUGUGUAAACCUCAGUGAAUGACUUACCAAGUGUUGGACAGUGGACAUAAGAUGAAUGGGUAAAUCUAAGCACAAAUAAAUGCAGUAAAGAAGAAACUAGGCUCCAAAACCACCUAAAAUGAAAUAUAGUCCUUUCAUUUCAUUAAUCAAAUCUCACAAUUCAAGAAAUAACGGAGAUUGAUCAACAUAAAAAUACUUUUUUUUUUGUUUUUCUUAAGUUUUAA